GACGAACGCUGGCGGCGUGCUUAACACAUGCAAGUCGAACGCUGAAGCUCAGCUUUUGUUGGGUGGAUGAGUGGCGAACGGGUGAGUAACACGUGAGUAACCUGCCCCCUUCUUUGGGAUAACGCCCGGAAACGGGUGCUAAUACUGGAUAUUCACUGGUCUUCGCAUGGGGGUUGGUGGAAAGGGUUUUUCUGGUGGGGGAUGGGCUCGCGGCCUAUCAGCUUGUUGGUGGGGUGAUGGCCUACCGAGGCUUUGACGGGUAGCCGGCCUGAGAGGGUGACCGGUCACAUUGGGACUGAGAUACGACCCAGACUCCUACGGGAGGCAGCAGUGGGGAAUAUUGCACAAUGGGCGCAAGCCUGAUGCAGCGACGCCGCGUGAGGGAUGGAGGCCUUCGGGUUGUGAACCUCUUUCGCUCAUGGUCAAGCCGCAACAAUGGUUGUGGUGAGGGUAGUGGGUAAAGAAGCGCCGGCUAACUACGUG
rnacentral:rRNA from 1 species